GUGUUAGGAUGACAGGUGUGAGCCCUGUAAACAGACUGUGCUCUUCCUUUCUUUGUGCACAGCUGAGUUAAUGACCUCUACUAUUUUCUCUAAAGAACUUUGAACAUUUUUUGCAAGGCAGGUCUACGGGCAACAAAUUUUGCAAUUUUUGUCAGAGGAGGUCUUUACUUUUUCUUCACUUUUGAAAGAUAAUUUCACAGAGUAUAGACUUCUAGGUUAAUAGAAUUUUUUUCCUCUCAAUAGUUCAAAUACUUCACUCUACUUCUUCCUUUCAUGGUUUUUGAGGGGAAGUUGAAUAUAAUUCUUAUCUUUGAUCCUCCAUAGGGAAGGAGAUUACUCUGGUUUCUUUGGUUUUUAAUCUUUGAUUCACCAUAGUUUGAAUAUUUUAUGCCCAAGUAGAGUUUAUUUUUGUUUUGUUUUUGUCAUCGUCGUUUUUCCAUUUAUCCUUCUUGGUGUUUUUUGAGCUUCCUGGAUCUAUGGUUUGGUGUCUGGCUUUAAUCUGAGGAAAUUCAGCUAUUACUGUUACAAAUAUUUCUUCUGUUCCUCUUUCUUCCCCCUUACAUUACCGUUAUGCAUAUUUUAUGCCUCUGUGGAUGUCCCAUAGUGCUUGGAUACUCUGUUCUUUUUUGCUUUUCAGUUCUCGAGGUUGGAGUUGGGUAUUUCCCUUUCCACCAGGUCAGAAGGCUCUGAUAAAAUCCCACCAGGUUAGUCUCUAGUUAACUAGCUUCUCUGGAAGGUAGACCUAGUGAAGAGUGCACCUCCAUAUUGAAAAAUGAUUCCUAUUCUCUUUCCCCUGUAGUAAAUAUGAGGGGAUUUUUCUCUGAUGUUUACUUCAAGAACCUGGUUGAGCUUCUGAUGAUACAACUCACAAAAGCAUGAGACCCAUAUGCACAGGCCUCCUGGAGGUUUCAACUCUCAGACGUGGCCACACCUCACUGCAGCAAUUUGUCAAUUCCAGUUCAGGUUUAAGAAGAACUGCUGAUUUUUCAGUUUGCUCAGCUUUUUACCUGUGAGGAUGGAGUGACAAUUCUCAAGAUUAUCAUAUUUAAAAACUCGGUCUUCUGCUGUAUCAGACAUCUAGAUGGGCAUUUUCCAACAGAAUUAUGAGAGGCCUCUUAUAGAACUUGAAACCUUCCUUGUAGCCUCAUAUAAAUAUAUAAACAGGUACAAUUCAUUUUACUAGUAUAUUUUUAACUCAAAAUGCUCAUACUAUGCUUUCAA
rnacentral:lncRNA from 1 species